rnacentral:misc_RNA from 1 species
GAAGAACGUAGCGAAAUGCGAUACGUAAUGUGAAUUGCAGAAUUCAGUGAAUCAUCGAAUCUUUGAACGCAUAUUGCGCUCUCUGGUAUUCCGGAGAGCAUGCUUGUUUGAGUAUCAGUAAACACCUCAACUUCCAUAUCUUUUUUGAAAUGGGAGUUGGACUUGAGUGAUCCCAACGCUUUUCCUCACCGAAAAGUGGCGGGUUACUUGAAAUGCAGGUGCAGCUGGACUUUUCUCUGAGCUAUAAGCAUAUCUAUUUAGUCUGCCUAAAAAACAGAUUAUUACCUUUGCUGCAGCUAACAUAAAGGAGAUUAGUUCUUGUGCUGACUGAUGCAGGAUUCACAAAGACAGCUUCGGCCGACUUUGUAAACUCGAUCUCAAAUCAAGUAAGACUACCCGCUGAACUUAAGCAUAUCAAUAAGCGGAGGA